UGAUUCUAUAACACACAUAAAACAGAGGUAUAGGCCAGGCACGGUGGCUCAAGCCUGUAAUCCCAGCACUUUGGGAGGCCGAGGCGGGUGGAUCACAAGGUCAAGAGAUCGAGACCAACCUGGUCAACAUGGUGAAACCCCGUCUCUACUAAAAUACAAAAAAUUAGCUGGGCAUGGUGGCGCGUGCCUGUAAUCCCGGCUACUCAGGAGGCUGAGGCAGUAGAAUUGCCUGAACCCAGGAGGCGGAUGUUGCGGUGAGCUGAGAUCACGCCAUUGCACUCCAGCCUGGGUAACAAGAGUGAAACUCUGUCUCAAAAAAAAAAACAAAAAAAAAAAACCAGAGGUAUAGUUAAUGCUCAAAACCCCUGUAGCAAGAUUAUACAAGGCAAUAAAACCAAGAACAUGCACUUGGAAUGUCUUACCUGGAGCUUUGGAAUUAAAAGGCUCAGGGACUAGGAGAAAUAUGUUUUGAAUAUUUAAAACACUCUUAAAUUCAGGUAUGCCAAAUAAGAUGGAGAUGUGCUGAUUUAAUUGGGUUUGCUAUUUUCUUUAUAGGAAGGAGGGCACUAUUAAACUUAAAUUAGUGAUACUAAAAUUUCUUAGCAUAACAUUCAAAGGCCUCCCUAAUCUAGAGGACUUUGUCAGCCUCUGUGCAUUCCACAGGUCACCCUAGAUUGGAACACUCUUUAUUUUUUUUGAGAUAGAGUCUUGCUCUGUUGCCCAGGCUGGAGUGCAGUGGCAUGAUCUUGGCUCACUGCAACCUCCACCUUCCAGGUUCAAGUGAUUCUCCUGCCUCGGCCUCCUGAGUAGCUGAGAUUACAGGUGUGCACCACCAUGCCCAGCUAAUUUUUGUAUUUUUAGUAGAGACGGGGUUUCACCGUGUUGGCCAGGAUGGUCUCAAGCUCCUGACCUUGUGAUCCACCCGCCUUAGCCUCCCAAAGUGCUGGGAUUACAGGCAUGAGCCACUGCACCCAGCCUGGAACACUCUUACUAAUAAUUUUUAUUUUAGGUUUUGGGGUACAUGAGCAGAGCAUGCAAGACAGUUGCGUAGGUACACACAUGGCAGUGUGCUUUCUUUUCUUCUCCCCUUCACCCACAUUUGGCAUUUCUCCCCAGGCUGUAAAAAGUCUAGGUCAUACAAUUAUGUAUAGUACAUAAUACUUGAUAAUAAAUGACUAUGAAUGGCUUAUGUACUUACUUUAAAAAAAAAAGAAAGAAACUAGGAACUUUGAAAAAAGGUUUGAUGAAAUCCUAUUGAGAA
rnacentral:lncRNA from 1 species